rnacentral:ribozyme from 1 species
UGCCCAGCAACUCCUAUCCCUACCUCCUCGCGGUACCGGCCGGAAACUACGAGCAACCUUAGGGAAGAUCGGAAAACCAACCCCGGUGGGAACUUUGGUCGUAGGCUGACAGGGAAGG